rnacentral:rRNA from 1 species
UACGGAGGGGGCUAGCGUUGUUCGGAUUUACUGGGCGUAAAGAGCGCGUAGGUUGUUAUAUAAGUUAGGAGUGAAAUCCCGGAGCUUAACUUCGGAACUGCUUCUAAAACUAUACAGCUAGAGUAUGGCAGAGGGUAAUAGAAUUCCUAGUGUAGAGGUGAAAUUCUUAGAUAUUAGGAGGAAUACCGAUGGCGAAGGCAGUUACCUGGGCCAUUACUGACGCUGAGGCGCGAAAGCGUGGGGAGCAAACAGG